rnacentral:piRNA from 1 species
UAGGACUGAAGUGGAAACUUGGGGU